rnacentral:rRNA from 1 species
UACGUAGGUGUCAAGCGUUGUCCGGAUUUAUUGGGCGUAAAGCGCCCGCAGGCGGCUUGCCAAGUUCGAUGUGAAAUCUCCCGGCUCAACUGGGAGGGUGCAUCGAAAACUGGCAGGCUUGAGGCAGGGAGAGGGAUGUGGAAUUCCAGGUGUAGAGGUGAAAUUCGUAGAUAUUCGGAAGAACACCAGUGGCGAAGGCGGCUCACUGGCCCGGUACUGACGCUGAGGUGCGAAAGCGUGGGGAGCAAACAGG